rnacentral:rRNA from 1 species
UACGAAGGGGGCUAGCGUUGUUCGGAAUUACUGGGCGUAAAGCGCACGUAGGCGGCUUUGUAAGUUAGAGGUGAAAGCCCCGGGCUCAACCUGGGAACUGCAUUUGAGACUGCUCUGCUCGGGUGCGGAAGAGGGAAGCGGAAUUUCCGGUGUAGCGGUGAAAUGCGUAGAUAUCGGAAGGAACACCAGUGGCGAAAGCGGCUUCCUGGUCCGACACCGACGUUCAGGCACGAAAGCGUGGGGAGCAAACAGG